rnacentral:rRNA from 1 species
AUUGAACGCUGGCGGCAGGCCUAACACAUGCAAGUCGAACGAGUGGCGGACGGGUGAGUAAUGUCUGGGAAACUGCCUGAUGGAGGGGGAUAACUACUGGAAACGGUAGCUAAUACCGCAUACCAUCAGAUGUGCCCAGAUGGGAUUAGCUUGUUGGUGGGGUAACGGGUCACCAAGUCGACGAUCCCUAGCUGGUCUGAGGGGAUAACCAGCCACACUGGAACUGGAACACGGUCCAGACAACGACGGUAGGCAGCAUUGGGAAAUAUUGCAGAAUGGGCGCAAGCCUGAUGCAGAAAUGCCGCGUGUAUGAAGAAGGCCUUCGGGAUGUAAAGUACUUUCAGCGGUGAGGCGUUACCCGCAGAAGAAGCACCGGCUAACUCCGUGCCAGCAGCCGCGGUAAUUC